rnacentral:rRNA from 1 species
AUACGGAGGCUGCGAGCGUUAUCCGGAUUUAUUAGGUUUAAAGGGUGUGUAGGCGGGAGCCUAAGUCAGUGGUGAAAUCUCACAGCUUAACUGUGAAACUGCCAUUGAAACUGGGUUUCUUGAGUAUAGUUGAGGUAGGCGGAAUGUGUAAUGUAGCGGUGAAAUGCAUAGAUAUUACACAGAACACCGAUUGCGAAGGCAGCUUACUAAGCUAUUACUGACGCUGAUGCACGAAAGCGUGGGUAGCGAACAGGAUUAGAAACCCUAGUAGUCC